rnacentral:lncRNA from 13 species
GCUUAUAUUCAGUUAAUGGUUGAGGCUUUCUCUUCGCACCAUAAAAAGAUGCAUGAAAUAAGAAUCUUUCUGGAGGGCGAAGGGAUUUGAUUAAAGUUCUUCUUUCCAAAGCAGUCUCAUCUUCAUUUUAGAACAGACAUAAUAAAGAGAAUAAUUUUUUAACUUAGUAUGAAUCUUUUUUGAGAAGUACCCCCUACUCCCAUGCUUACACUAGAUGUCAAGACCAAUUGAUUUAUGGAAGUUAGAAAGCAGACUGAAGAGUGAGAGAAUAUGGCAGAAAUGUGGACGAUGAGAGUCUUUCAACCUUGAACUCAACCACUGGAUGAGUGAGAAGCUAGCAGGAAUUCAUGGAGCCAAAGCAAGCAGGAAAAACUAACUGCAUGGGUUGAAUUUAUUAAAUAUUUGACUCUGAAGCCACAGCCCUGGAUUUGAAUUUUGCACGACCUGGAGUUUUAUGUACCCAACAAGGAAGCAGGAUUUAUGAGAAAUGUAUUUGCAUGGAGGUCAUUUUUACAACUAUCAACUUCACUUCGAAGAGCUCUCCAUGAAAAGUAUAAUAAGGAAGUAAAAAGUAUACUGGAGUAGAUGCAAUUCAUCCAUUCAGCAAAAAAAAAAAGAAAAAAUGGUCAACUGCCUUCUAAAUGCCAGGCAUACUUUGAAGGCUAAGUUAACAGCAGUAAGCAAAAGAGACAAAAAUUCUUCCAAGGGUGAUCACAUUCUCAUGGGAGGCGUACAGUGUUGAGAGGACGCAAUCAUGGUAACAGCAGCUUAAAUGAAGUGGAAGUUUCUUUCUUUCUUACAUUUCAAGAAGAGUGAAAGCCAUCAAUUUGGGACUGAUAUGGUGCCAUAUGUUGUAAAAGACUCGCUCCUUUUCCACCCGGGCAUCCCUUGGUUCACAGAAUCCUUCACAUCAGCAGCAACAAGGAGAAAGAAGAAUAGAAGAAGAAAGAACAAGAUCAUGAGCCAGCUCCUACCUGGACAAAUAUGCAUCAUUAUGAUGUGGAAGCCUCGUUAAAAGCUAAGGCCUGCUGGAUGUGGUAGCUCAUACCUGUAAUCCCAGCACUUCGGGAGGAGGAGGCAAGUAGAUCAUUUGAAGUCAGGAGUUCAAGACCAUCCUGAUCAGCAUGAUGAAACCCCAUCUUAACUAAAAAUACAAAAAAAUUAGCUGGGGUUGUGGUGCAUGUCUGUAGUCCCAGCUACUCAGGAGGCUGAGGCAGGAGAAUCACUUGAACCUGGGAGGUGGAGGUUCCCGUGAGCCAAGAUUGCACCACUGCACUCCCUGAACAACAGAGCAGGACUCUGUCUCAAAAAAAAAAAAAAAAAAAAAAAAAAAAAAAAAAAAAAAAUUAAGACUUUGCUUAAAUAGGCAGAACACAAAGAAAUUUUGAAGGAUUAUAACAUUUUCUGUACAAGACUAGUUUUUGACUUACAGCAAUUUAAUUAGCUGUAGUUUCUUUUCUGUAAAGCUUAUUUUCAUUUUCUUUCUAAUUUAAAAGAGUGAUUUAACAUUUCAUUCUAGAAAAUGGAUAGUUAUGGAGUCUUGAUGUGACAGAGAAAAGAGAGAAG